GGUACAAAAUUCGUCACCGGAAAAAUUCCCGGAGGGGAGAAACGGAAACGUUGGAAUCCAACAACCUCUGGUACCUGUUCACAGGAUUGGAGAGGAGCUCCCAGCACAGUUUUCAGGUGGCGGCGCUGACGGUGAACGGGACGGGCCCGGCCUCCAACUGGGUGGGGGUGGAAACACCUGAGCAAGAUUGGGAUGGUAAAAAAAUCAAAUAAAAUUAAAUUGAUGUUUAAUUAAAAGAAUUAAAAGGGAAAAAAAAGGAAUGGGGAAAAAAAAGAGGGAG
rnacentral:lncRNA from 12 species